rnacentral:rRNA from 1 species
AUUGAACGCUGGCGGCAUGCCUUACACAUGCAAGUCGAACGGCAGCAUGAUCUAGCUUGCUAGAUUGAUGGCGAGUGGCGAACGGGUGAGUAAUACAUCGGAACGUGCCCUGUAGUGGGGGAUAACUAGUCGAAAGAUUAGCUAAUACCGCAUACGACCUGAGGGUGAAAGUGGGGGACCGCAAGGCCUCAUGCUAUAGGAGCAGCCGAUGUCUGAUUAGCUAGUUGGAGAGGUAAAGGCUCACCAAGGCGACGAUCAGUAGCUGGUCUGAGAGGACGAUCAGCCACACUGGGAGUGAGACACGGCACCGACUCCUACGGGAGGCAGCAGUGGGGACUGUUGGACAAUGGGCGAAAGCCUGAUCCAGCACAGCCGCGUGUGUGAAGAAGGACUUCGGGUUGUAAAGCACUUUUGUCCGGAAAGAAAUGGCUCUGGUUAAUACCUGGGGUCGAUGACGGUACCGGAAGAAUAAGGACCGGCUAACUACGUG